AUCACAGGGUUAGCAAUAACUCCGUGGUUCUAGUGGCGCACGGGUGAGUAACACGUGGGUAACCUGCCCUUGAGACUGGGAUACCCCCUCGAAAGGGGGGCUAAUACCGGAUACGUUCCUGGGAUCGAAAGGUCCGAGGAGGAAAGGUGGCGAAAGCUGCCGCUCUUGGAGGGGCUCGCGGCCUAUCAGCUAGUUGGCGGGGUAACGGCCCACCAAGGCUAUGACGGGUAGCUGGUCUGAGAGGACGACCAGCCACACGGGGACUGAGACACGGCCCCGACUCCUACGGGAGGCAGCAGUGGGGAAUUUUCCGCAAUGGGCGAAAGCCUGACGGAGUGACGCCGCGUGUGGGACGAAGGCCUUCGGGUCGUAAACCACUGUCAGUGGGAAAGAUGGGUGCCGGCGUGAUAACCGCCGGCAUUUGACGGUACCUGCAGAGGAAGCCCCGGCUAACUCUGUGCCAGCAGCCGCGGUAAGACAGAGGGGGCAAGCGUUGCUCGGAAUUACUGGGCGUAAAGGGCGCGUAGCGGGAUGGCAAGUCGGUCGUGAAAUCCCUCCGGCUCAACUGAGGGAUCGUCGAUUGAUACUGGCCGUUCUUGAGGAUUGCCAGAGGAGACUGGAAUUCCCCGGUGUACGGUGAAAUGGUGUUAGAGAUCGGGGAGGAACACCGGUGGCG
rnacentral:rRNA from 1 species